rnacentral:rRNA from 1 species
UACGUAGGGUGCAAACGUUGCUCGGAAUUAUUGGGCGUAAAGCGCACGUAGGCGGCUUUUCAAGUCCCAUGUGAAAGCCCAGGGCUCAACCUUGGAACUGCCUUUGAUACUGGGCAUCUUGAGUAUGGGAGAGGUGAGUGGAACUCCGAGUGUAGAGGUGAAAUUCGUAGAUAUUCGGAAGAACACCAGUGGCGAAGGCGACUCACUGGCCCAUUACUGACGCUGAGGCGCGAAAGCGUGGGGAGCAAACAGG